UACGAAGGGAGCUAGCGUUGUUCGGAAUCACUGGGCGUAAAGCGCGUGUAGGCGGCCCGGUAAGUCCGCUGUGAAAGUCGGGGGCUCAACCCUCGGAUGCCGGUGGAUACUGUCGGGCUCGAGUACGGAAGAGGCGAGUGGAAUUCCUGGUGUAGCGGUGAAAUGCGCAGAUAUCAGGAGGAACACCAAUUGCGAAGGCAGCUCGCUGGGACGUUACUGACGCUGAGACGCGAAAGCGUGGGGAGCAAACAGG
rnacentral:rRNA from 1 species